UCAGCUGCCGGGUUAUAAUCUAUGAAACUGAGCCCUGAUCCAGCCAAUCAGUUCGCUCCUUAUAACAAGUCUAACUGGCUCUGGAAAGCUGAAAAGGCUGCACUGGAGCGGCAUAGAUGAUAUAUUCCACAUAAUAAUCUGCUUAUCUAGAAUCACUCUGCCUAGAAAGGCCAGAGAAAAUCGCAGCUUCAUUAUCUGAGGAAAGAAGGACAGGUGAUCUGGCAAAAACAUUUCUGAACCUGGAGCAA
rnacentral:lncRNA from 1 species